rnacentral:rRNA from 1 species
CCUACGGGAGGCAGCAGUGGGGAAUUUUGGACAAUGGGCGCAAGCCUGAUCCAGCCAUUCCGCGUGCAGGACGAAGGCCUUCGGGUUGUAAACUGCUUUUGUACGGAACGAAAAGGUCCUGGUUAAUACCCGGGGCUCAUGACGGUACCGUAAGAAUAAGCACCGGCUAACUACGUGCCAGCAGCCGCGGUAAUACGUAGGGUGCAAGCGUUAAUCGGAAUUACUGGGCGCAAAGCGUGCGCAGGCGGUUAUGUAAGACAGAUGUGAAAUCCCCGGGCUCAACCUGGGAACUGCAUUUGUGACUGCAUAGCUAGAGUACGGUAGAGGGGGAUGGAAUUCCGCGUGUAGCAGUGAAAUGCGUAGAUAUGCGGAGGAACACCGAUGGCGAAGGCAAUCCCCUGGACCUGUACUGACGCUCAUGCACGAAAGCGUGGGGAGCAAACAGGAUUAGAUACCCUGGUAGUCCACGCCCUAAACGAUGUCAACUGGUUGUUGGGUCUUCACUGACUCAGUAACGAAGCUAACGCGUGAAGUUGACCGCCUGGGGAGUAUGGCCGCAAGGUUGAAACUCAAAGGAAUUGACGG